UGCCACAGCCAUAUCGCCCUUCAGCCUAAGAUUGGUUACUAACUGAAGCUAAGCAAGGCUGAGCCUGAUCAGUACCUGAAUGGGAAGACCACAUGGAAAAACUAGGUUGCUAAUGGAAG
rnacentral:rRNA from 1 species